rnacentral:rRNA from 1 species
UACGAAGGGUGCUAGCGUUGUUCGGAAUCACUGGGCGUAAAGCGCGCGUAGGCGGCUAUACAAGUCAGAGGUGAAAGCCCGGGGCUCAACCCCGGAAUUGCCUUUGAAACUGCAUGGCUGGAGUGUCGGAGGGGAUAGCGGAAUUCCUAAUGUAGAGGUGAAAUUCGUAGAUAUUAGGAGGAACACCGGUGGCGAAGGCGGCUAUCGUGGACGACAACUGACGCUGAGGCGCGAAAGCGUGGGGAUCAAACA